CCCUACUUGUACCCAGUUCUUAAGUGCGCAUCUUUUCCGUCCGCCAUUACUCCAGCCAGAUAAACUGGACAGAAUGUAUAUAGAUUAGUAUUAUGGAGAGUUGUUUUUCAUAAAAUUGAUGGGUUUUGAUUCACAUAUGGACAACAAUUUUAAUGCCUUUAAGCAGGAUAUAAAGGAAAUAAGUGUAAUGAAGAAAACAUCGAAGAAGAUGUUUACCAGGACAUGGAAAAAGAAACUGAAAUAGAGGAAAUAAACGAGGAGAAAGCAGACGAGUUCAAACAAGAAAAGAAGCAUGAAGAUAUCGACGAAGAAGAAAUUAAAGAUGAAGAUAUGGACUACGAGCACAACACAGAGAAAUAUCUUAAAGAAGAAGAAAACGAAGAAGACGAAAUGAGACCAGAGGAACAUUUCAUGAUACAAGAAAAGGAAUGAGAUUAAUGUUUAGAUAUCUUUUUCUUCACCAUCAAAUCUUAUGUGCAAUUUCUGAAUUUAGAUCGAAAGCACAGACUAAAAUAUGAAAAAUAUGUAUGAAAAGGGGGAAAUAGGUGGUAUAGUUUCUGGAUUCAGGAUGGCAAAAAUGAGCUAAAAUUAUGAAAUUUGUCAGGAAUUGUUGCAAUCCACCAAAAAGCAUCUUCAACCUGUAACUCAUGCAUUAAGAUCGAGUAAGAUGGAAGCGAUGGGUUUGGCUCAGGGCUAUGAUGCCAGUGAGCCAGGAAAUAUCUUUGAGGCGCUUAGUACAAAUCCUGACCGGUUGAAACUUCAUGCCUUCCUGUACGGAAUUUCCCAUCAGCAUCAUUUAGCACUAGAGCGCACCAGGCAAACGAAUACUGAAACUGCAGGCAAGAAAAUUGUGUCUGAAAUUCAGAAUUUCCUGGAAGAAGAUGUUGACUUGAAAAUACACAUUUCAUGUGUAUUGCUGGGGCACUUAGUGCAUCGUUAGAUGUGUGGCGCCCAAAAGUACGAGGUUUUCCAAAUGUAUCUACCGUGUUUUUGCCAAGCUAUGCAAGGAGCAGGCAGUGUGGCUUUUACUCUUUGUAAAAUAAAGGACCUCUUUGCAUUCGUGUAGCCAAAAUGGGAAAAACGACAAACUCGACACCCAUAAAACGCAGCAUAAAAGUUUAAAUUACAAGUUUUUUCCAACAUUUUUUGCCAAAUAAAAAUCUGAGUGAUUCUAAACUUUUGUGCCAUUCGUAUAUUAAGUUGUUUGUAUUUUUUUAGUUUUCCUCUAGGAGAACUUGGAUUGGAGAAAAUGAGAGGUUUUUUGUUUUAAAAAAUAUUUUAGACACGUAUAAAGAAAAUAAGAAUGACUCCUUUUAUUCUUGACACGUUUUCAUUUUGAUUCCAGAGUUGCUUGUUUCCAUCGUAUAAGCAUUUACAAAAGAGAUUUGAAUACACUAAAUGAUAAUAGUGGGUAUGCGACAUCAUCGUAGACGUCCUGUUAAGGUACUACCUGAAAAUCUAGGUGUAGCUUAAGUUAAUGACGAAAAUCACUCUGAAUGCAUGGCCUAUGUGUCAAAACAUUUACAUUCUUAUUUAUAGGUACUACUGUAAAUUAGCAGAAAAAAGAAAUUUAAAAUAUUUCGCAUUUAGCAAUUUCUUUCAACAGAAACUGUUAAUAGAUGGACUUCCGAGAAAGACCGCUGAGAUUAUCAGGAUGUUUCAUUUCAAAAGUGGGGAUGUACACACCUGAAGAAAUGUAUAAAUAUGAAUGUGUGCUAGUGUCAAUAUGUGACAUGCUGCAUUGGUGGCUCAUUGCAUACAAUAUUAGAGCAGGCAAACUCUAUGUGUUAUGCAGUAUGGGGUGGCAAAAAAGUGAAGUUGCAUCAAGUAUACGAAGGUAUAUGACAUAUUUUCAGCAUGUGAGGCAAGAGCAAAGAUGGCCAGAAGACAUUGCUCGAAUUUCCCAACCUAUAUAUGCCGACGUGAUACAACAAGCAAAUGGUUAUGACUGUGGCAUAUUCGUGACAGAAUUUGCGAGAAGAAUAACUGAGGGGGUAAAAUUUAUAAAAGAUAUCAUGAUUCUUAAUCACUUCGUUUACUCUGUUCAUAUAAAGAUAGUGUUCUUUUUGAUAGGGAGAAGUUGGUCCUCGAUUACUUGAUGAUAUCCAUGUAAAUUGUAAAAGACAAUACUGAUAAUACUAAAAAGACAAUACUGAUUCGAAGCUUUACCAUUUAGCAAAGCAAUUUGUAAUGAAGCAGAAUUUAGUUAAAAAGCUGGUGCAUAUGAAAGACAUUCUUAUAUUUAUAACAAGUGAUGUAAAUAAUUUUUUUACAAGUAACGACGUUACAAGAAAUUGUUACUUUUGCAGAAUCUUUAUGGGUAACUAUGAAGUAACGUUUUGUACAGAUAAAACUAUUCGUAAAAACAAGUUUAAGUUUUUCGAAAAACGAAACUAUAACGCGUUACUUUAAAGCAAUAUAAAGGAAAAUUGAAAUUAGUUAUAAAAAGUAA